AGUGAACGCUGGCGGUAGGCCUAACACAUGCAAGUCGAACGGCAGCACAGUAAGAGCUUGCUCUUACGGGUGGCGAGUGGCGGACGGGUGAGGAAUACAUCGGAAUCUACUUUUUCGUGGGGGAUAACGUAGGGAAACUUACGCUAAUACCGCAUACGACCUACGGGUGAAAGCAGGGGAUCUUCGGACCUUGCGCGAUUGAAUGAGCCGAUGUCGGAUUAGCUAGUUGGCGGGGUAAAGGCUCACCAAGGCGACGAUUCGUAGCUGGUCUGAGAGGAUGAUCAGCCACACUGGAACUGAGACACGGUCCAGACUCCUACGGGAGGCAGCAGUGGGGAAUAUUGGACAAUGGGCGCAAGCCUGAUCCAGCCAUACCGCGUGGGUGAAGAAGGCCUUCGGGUUGUAAAGCCCUUUUGUUGGGAAAGAAAAGCAGCAGGUUAAUACCCCGCUGUUCUGACGGUACCCAAAGAAUAAGCACCGGCUAACUUCGUG
rnacentral:rRNA from 1 species